rnacentral:lncRNA from 1 species
GGCGCGGAGCCGCGCGGAGUGACAAAGCCGCCGCUGCCGCCGCCGGGGGUGGGAGCCGCGCUCGCCCGCCCGCCCCUCGACUCGCGAGGGCGUAAAAGUUUGUCUCAGCUCGAGCAUUCCUAGCGCCAACACGCCCUCAGGUAAAGGUGGAAGUAAAUGGCCACGCUGUAUUGACAGAGCAGGUAGAUGAAACUCAAGAGAAAAGGUGUGGAUAAAUGAAACUAGCCCAUGAUGAACCUGUUUUCUCCGUGACCACAAUAUUAACCAGGAUGAAUGGCGGUGGCAGUGGGCCUGCAUCACAGGUUGCAGCAGAUGUUCUCAAUAUUUCUAUUAAAAUUUCCUUAUUUCCAUAUGCAAGAGGAGCCCCAGAGCUGCAUCCUUAUGGUAGCUACCAUGCCGUGAUGUAAGCUGCCAUUCACUGGGGAGCUUUGGCAAUAGAAUUGGCUAGAUCAGGAAGCCUAUGUCAACUAUGGAACAACAACUUGCAGCUCAUCUCUAUUGAUGGUGAAACAGUCGCAAAUGGAAUUCCAAGAAACAUUCUAUAUACACUGCCUCUAGGACUGGGACAGAUAGCCACUGAGUACCUGCUUCAAAUCACCCUGCACGUUUUCUCUUUGGAAAGAUAAGCACUGGAGAACCAUCUCGUUACCUUCAGCAGAAAUGGAAACAAAUCAAGACAUUAAGAAUGCCGCAGUGGACAGCAGUUAUGCAAGGUUCAGCAGAGGAAGUUUUCAAGAUGGUGUGCCUCACUAGCCAGAAAUCAGAAAAGAUCGAAGCUAGCCUUUUCAUCUCAGCUGCUCCUUAAAUCAGUGCAACCCCUCCAAAUUAAUGUGAAUUGAAACUUGCAUUGCUUUUCAACUUAAUUGAAUACUUACUAUAUGUGAACCACUGCACAAAAUAGGGGAAGAAGAUGUGGGAGACAAAGAUGUGGAGCCUGUCUUCAAUAAAUUUACAGUUAGUUUCAGGGUACAUUGUUUUUCUUCUGCUGUUAAUUAGGUGUAUCCCCAAGACAAUAAAUACAUGAAUGGAAAAGUAUAUUCUGUGUUUUAAGUCUCUUUAAUAAAAAACAAAACAAAAUCCAAAAAAACUCCUAACAUGGCAACUCAGGACAUUUUAAUCCUUUUUUUUGUUGUUGGGCUUCUGAUAGGAUCCAUUUUAUUGAUUCCAUAAAUAUUUAGUAGACUUUAGACAUAUUAAUACAUUGUAGUUUGAGUUAAUUUGCAUUAAAUUCUGUUUUUUUCCCCUUAGGUAUAGAUUGUCUGUUGGAAAAAUAUAUUGCUUGUGGAUUUCUUGGGGAGUGGGAAGGUGAAUUAUACCUGUUGUCUCUACAGUCCACUACCUUCCACACCCUAGGGCAGUGGUCCCCAACCUUCUUGGCACCAGGGAUCAGUUUCCUGGAAGACAAUUUUUCUGUGGAUGGUGUGGGGAUGGUUUUGGGAUGGAACUGUUCCACCUCAGAUCAUCAGGCAUUAGUUAGGCUCUCAUAACGAGUGCGCAGCCUAGAUCCCUCACAUGCACAGUUCACAGUAGGGUUUGCGCUGCUAUGAGAAUCUAAGGCUGCCACUGAUCUGACAGGAGGCAGAACUCAGGUGGCAAUGCUUACUGGCCCACUGCUCACCUCUUGCUGUGCGGCCUGGUUCCUAAUAGGCCAUGGACCCCCACAGACGGGUACUAGUCUGCAGCCUGUGGACCCCAGCCCUAGGGGCCUGCCAUUCUGAGUGAGUUAUUAGCAUGAAGAAGAGGAAGAUCUGGAUCAAACGUGGGUGAUGGUACUCAGAGACCCAAGAUAGGAUAGGGAUGGAACAAAAUCCAUCUGGGCAACGGCUCUAUGAAAAUUUGGCUAAGUAAUUAUUUCAGUAUUCAUUGUAUUCAUUGUCCUUCGUGUUCCAUAAGUUAAAUGACUGUCUAAUUUUUCCAAAAAUUUAUUUCUGACUUGAGAAUAAGUGUGUCAUGAUUUUCCCAGUGUAAAGACACUGAUAUAACUGUAGAUACCAGACAUUUUAUGUAGUGUCUAUGACACAUUUUAGUAUGUAUGAGCCAACAAUAGACAUGUCUUUGUCUUGAGGAGUGUCCAUCUGAAUUGAAAAUGUGUCAGCUUUUUUUUAACAUCAUCAACAGACUUCUUAAUUAAGCUGCCAAUACAUACUGCCAAUAGCACUGUGUGCUGUCUGAGAAAUGCAUUGUGUAAGUGCUAUUUCCAUCUUAUUAAAUAAACAAUGUUGCUCUGUAUAAACUGGAUUUAAAGUGUUCUUUGAAUGAGGCAUUAUAUUGCUCCAUAAAUAAUGUGAUGUGAAUUCUCAUAUGAUCCCUUUUAACUUAAUUUCUAAAAAAAUAUUAUUUGCUCCUCAGUAAGGAAUAGCUCUAAUUGGACUGGUAACUUUAGUGAUAUGAUUUGUCUGUAACAGGCUGAAUCGCCCCACUCCCAAACUCCUGGUCGUGAUACUGGAUAUUUGUUAUGCCACUUUUAGUUUGCAUGAGGUAUCUUCCAGGAAGUAUUAGUUAUUAACUUGUGUUCUACUAAACUGUAGAUAUUUAUUUCCUGUUCUGGAAGAUUUCUUGGAGUGUCCAUCUGUGCAUUCCUGGUGCCUAGUGUAGUCUUGCUAAUGGAAUAGCACCUUUAUUGGUGCUACUUAGGGGUUGGUAGCUUACAAUCAAUCUACUUGGAACGUAUCCAAAUAAACUGGAUAUUUUUAUACA